UUGUAAAAAUUAUCUUCUCAUUCUCUUUCUCUCUCUUCUCCCCACUUCUUCUAUUUCUCCCUAUGAAUGUGGAGUUCUUUGCUUCUGUCUUCCGCGUGAAGCUUGAGAUUUUGAUUUUUUCUCUUUGCUUUGAUUAUGUGAACUUAGAAGGAUUCUAGCAAGAAAUCUAGCGACAAGACGUAAAUUUAAAAUUUUGUUGGCAUUAUCUUUCAGGUUUUCUGGUGUUUUUCCCAUGUCUGCAUUUGUGUGGCAAACCGAUGCUCUCGAACCUCCGGCAAUUAAGUAACAACCGAUUCGGUGCAAAAAUGUGAAGAAAACAGCUGACCGCUCCCAUCCCCCAAGACAAGCUCGAAGAAGUAAGUGCCAGGUUGGACCUUUUUCAAGUUUUGAUUUGUUGACCUUGAUAUUAUACCGUAGUUUGUUUGAUUAUUUGAGGUGUAAAUCUUGGUCCCGUAUUUGUAUGCAUUGGUUUGGUGUUGAGAAGCCCUAAGUGAUCGGUGUAGUUUUAUUUGUUAAUCGGAUUUGAAAUCGUUCGUAUAUUUGCCCAGAUACACCGAGUUGAGUGUUUUAUUUUGGCACCAAUUUUGGAUUAUUUUAUUUAUUUAAUUUGUGAUUUUUUUUAAUUUUGUAGAUGUACAUUUUGUUUAGUUACCCGAAGUUGUAUAUUUUAGUUUUUUUUUAUUGUUCGAGUAAUGUGAACUUGUGGUAUUUAUUUACAAAUCGGGGAAAGAAUACAAAUAGGUUAUCAUCCGAUUUGCAGUACCAUGUUUUCAUAACGAGAUGGAGAAAAUGAAGAAAUGCAUAUUGGAUGAACAUAUUAGAGCCAUCAAAAUGACUCAAUUCGGCCAUUUUCUGGACUGCCCAAAGAUAAGGUUGUAGUGGCACCGCCUGCUUGCCUUGAUUAAUAACUUUAGCCCGGAGCCCACGUCAUUCAACAUCGGAGUUGACAUUAUGGAAACAACAUGAUAUUAUUUUUACUAUUUGUUCCCACAUGUUAGCAUCACCAGAUAGCUCAUUCCAUUACCAA